CAGCCGCCGCGGUAAUACGUAGGUGGCAAGCGUUGUCCGGAAUUAUUGGGCGUAAAGGGCUCGCAGGCGGUUUCUUAAGUCUGAUGUGAAAGCCCCCGGCUCAACCGGGGAGGGUCAUUGGAAACUGGGAAACUUGAGUGCAGAAGAGGAGAGUGGAAUUCCACGUGUAGCGGUGAAAUGCGUAGAGAUGUGGAGGAACACCAGAGGCGAAGGCGACUCUCUGGUCUGUAACUGACGCUGAGGAGCGAGAGCGUGGGGAGCGAACAGGAUUAGAUACCCCCGUAGUCCCUGUCUCUUAUAC
rnacentral:rRNA from 1 species